UCCACAAUGGAUCGAAAAGCCGCCUUUGGCCGAUGGAAUUUUCUUUUCCACCAUUGUUGGUUUUUGCUGCUCGGAAUGUAUACUUUUCGAUUUGAUUUUCGUAGGAACAGAUUCGUCCGAAGCUAUCCGAUGUUGAUUUUUGUAGCACUUCUUCAGUUGGCAGUGAUAAUCGCGAAGCCGUAUGAACUGAGACACUUUAUCGAGGAAUAUAUGCUUAACAGGCACUCCGUCAGUACGGUUGUUAUAGUUGUUCAGGUUUUCAUCGACGAGAUGAUGUUGGUUUUUAAAACUUACAUGGUGGUUUUCAAUAUGAUAAAUUUGGGGUGUUAUGAGAGACUUUUGAAUAAAAUCAUUACUAUGAAGAAUCGAAUCUGCACUUCCCAUGGUGGACCUGAACUCAACUUCAAAUACAACUUUAUUAAUAUUGUUGCAACAAUCAGUAUCGCUAUGGGUAGCUUGGCGAGAACAGGAAGUUUACUGUCUUUUGCAUGGAAUAUCACCGUGAACCAUUUAAUUUAUUUCGGGUUGUAUCUUCUGGUGGGCCAGUGCUUUAUUAUUUUAAACCCAUUUGUACAAAGCCUGGAGCAAUUCGAUAAAAGUGUUGGGAAAAUCUACUUUAAGUUAGCUUACUUUUCACAAAACUCUAUGAAUAACGAUUGCUAUAAACGAAUAAGGAAAAUUUCUAAAGAGCAUUCACAACUGUAUCGAAAUUUUCUUGAUAUCUUGAGUCUUUAUUCUUUUCAACUGUUGUCCUGGUACAUGUUAGUCAGCAAAGGUUUAUUGCUCAUAGUAAUCAAUAACCAGAAAAAAAAUAUAUCAGAAGAAUCAAAACCAUUUUUUCUCCUUUAGAUUUUCUACGAGUUCACGUCCGUCUAUUUUGCUUUGAAUGGGCAAGACUUCAACCGAACGGAGCACAUCACUCGAUGGAUGCUGAUAUGGAUCUACUGCUUCAUGAUACGUUCCAUUGUAGGAAUCUGGUCCACCGUGAGGGCAAAGCAAUGCAAUGUAUCCAAAGUGUUGCUUCGAACAACUUUGAUGAAAAUCGAUGAUACUCAAUUACGAGAAAUGGUAGGUACCUUACUACCUGGCACAUCCAGUUGAGGCAGUAGCGAGUUCGAUAAAAAUUGGUAUUGCUGAUUGUUUUGCAUUUGUACAAAUUGGAAGCAGCUUCGGUGCCUGCUGGUGCAGUUGAAGCACGAAACCUUUGACGCUCAAAUUGCCGGAAUAAUUGAAAUCAGACCCUCCAUCAAUGUGGAUAUUUUCGCCUCAAUCAUCAACACAUUGGUUCCGCUGAUGCAAUUUCACCUGCUCGGCGUCGCCCGGAAUUAAUCAGUUUUUCCUCCCGGGCGGCCAGCAGCAACGCGCUGAAACAGGCCAAUAAAGUCAAGUUCAAGGGUUCUCAUCAGCUGAGGCUGAAGAAUUCCACCAUCGUCGUUCCCUGGUCCUGGAUAAACUGCUGCUGCUGCUGCUUCUGAAUGAAACAAUCCGUUCGUUUUACCACCGAUAUUCUGCUGCUAGGAUGCUGCAAAACCCCCCAAAGCAAGAAGAGAACCAUCUACCUACUCAUCUCCUGCCCCCUCAGUCGAGUAGCUUUCGGACUUGUGCCUUGGAUCGAAUAAUCCACCAACAAUAGCCAGGUCGGCGCUUUUCUCGAGAACAAUAUGCAGUUAAUGAAGCAAGCCUUUUAUUCAUAUAUACAUAAAACGAUCUAAUAAAAGCGGUGCUACUCAGAUAAUUAUGAUCUUUUAUUAGAUUCAUUUAGCAUAAAAUUAACUUCCUUUUGUCUAACGUUCUAGCGUAAGCGCUCUUCUUCGGGCAUUGGAGUAGUGCCGUUGUAGGUGUGGAUCUUGUGUCGAAGUGUGAGCACUCGUAGAGUUGUGAAGACUGCACAGAUUACCGCCCGCUUCAACUUGCCCGGACCAUACUUAGUAAUUCUUCGGAAGAAGCCAAGUGAUGCAAAAGGAAAAGUGCUACCUAGCGGAAUUUUUUUUCUGCACCUGUACGCUCGACGCCUUGCACUGUAUCUACGCAAAACGAUUCGCGGCCACUGGAUUUUUAUGGUGCCGGGAUUGUGGCCAAGCUGAUUCAUCCCUCGCAGAUUAGUUUCCGGCUUGAUGCACUUCCUCUUUGGGCGCCAGUAAUUGUUGAAGAAGCUCCGCAGGAAAACCGGCAACGGAUGGAUUGGUUUGCAGUGAACACUAAAGUGGAAUGUAGCAAGAUCUAUUAAUUUU